AUUGAACGCUGGCGGCAGGCCUAACACAUGCAAGUCGAGCGGAUGAAGGGAGCUUGCUCCUGGAUUCAGCGGCGGACGGGUGAGUAAUGCCUAGGAAUCUGCCUGGUAGUGGGGGAUAACGUCCGGAAACGGGCGCUAAUACCGCAUACGUCCUGAGGGAGAAAGUGGGGGAUCUUCGGACCUCACGCUAUCAGAUGAGCCUAGGUCGGAUUAGCUAGUUGGUGGGGUAAAGGCCUACCAAGGCGACGAUCCGUAACUGGUCUGAGAGGAUGAUCAGUCCCCCUGGGACCUGGGAACCGUCCCAGCCCCCUCCGGGGGGCGCAGUGGGGAAUUUUUGGCCAUGGGGCGAAACCCUGACCCACCCUUCCCGGGUGUGUAAAAAGGGUUUUCGGUUUUUAAACCCCUUUAUUUUGGGAGGAAGGGAAGUAAUUUAUACCCUUGUUUUUUUGCCGUUCCCAACAAAAAAGCCCCCGCCAACCUUCUU
rnacentral:rRNA from 1 species